rnacentral:rRNA from 1 species
CUACGGGGCGCAGCAGUCGCGAAAACUUUGCAAUACACGAAAGUGUGACAGGGCUAUCCCGAGUGCCAUCCGCUGAGGAAGGCUUUUACCCAGUCUAGAACGCUGGGGGAAUAAGGAGAGGGCAAGUCUGGUGUCAGCCGCCGCGGUAAUACCAGCUCUCCGAGUGGUGUGGAUGUUUAUUGGGCCUAAAGCAUCCAUAGCUGGCUAAGUUAGUCCCUUGUUAAAUCCACCGAAUUAAUCGUUGGAUCGCGGGGGAUACUGCUUGGCUAGGGGACGAGAGAGGCAGACGGUAUUUUCGGGGUAGGGGUAAAAUCCUAUAAUCCCGGGAAGACCACCAGUGGCGAAGGCUGUCUGCUAGAACGCGCCCGACGGUGAGGGAUGAAAGCUGGGGGAGCGAACCGGAUUAGAUACCCGGGUAGUCCCAGCUGUAAACGAUGCAGGCUAGGUGUUUGGACGGCCAC